rnacentral:rRNA from 1 species
UACGUAGGGGGCAAGCGUUGUCCGGAUUUAUUGGGCGUAAAGAGCGUGUAGGCGGCCGUACAGGUCAGCUGUGAAAACUCGAGGCUCAACCUCGAGACGUCGGUUGAAACCGUACGGCUAGAGUCCGGAAGAGGAGAGUGGAAUUCCCGGUGUAGCGGUGAAAUGCGCAGAUAUCGGGAAGAACACCCGUGGCGAAGGCGGCUCUCUGGGCAUUACCUGACGCUGAGGAGCGAAAGUGUGGGGAGCGAACAGG